rnacentral:rRNA from 1 species
UACGUAGGGCGCAAGCGUUGUCCGGAAUUAUUGGGCGUAAAGAGCGCGUAGGCGGUCCGGUAAGUCCGCUCUGAAAGUCCGGGGCUCAACCCCGGGAGGCGGGCGGAUACUGUCGGGCUAGAGUCCGGAAGAGGCGAGUGGAAUUCCUGGUGUAGCGGUGAAAUGCGCAGAUAUCAGGAGGAACACCAAUGGCGAAGGCAGCUCGCUGGGACGGUACUGACGCUGAGGCGCGAAAGCGUGGGGAGCAAACAGG